UCCUGCAGUCGACGGUAACAGGAAGCAGCUUGCUGCUUUGCUGACGAGUGGCGGACGGGUGAGUAAUGUCUGGGAAACUGCCUGAUGGAGGGGGAUAACUACUGGAAACGGUAGCUAAUACCGCAUAACGUCGCAAGACCAAAGAGGGGGACCUUCGGGCCUCUUGCCAUCGGAUGUGCCCAGAUGGGAUUAGCUAGUAGGUGGGGUAACGGCUCACCUAGGCGACGAUCCCUAGCUGGUCUGAGAGGAUGACCAGCCACACUGGAACUGAGACACGGUCCAGACUCCUACGGGAGGCAGCAGUGGGGAAUAUUGCACAAUGGGCGCAAGCCUGAUGCAGCCAUGCCGCGUGUAUGAAGAAGGCCUUCGGGUUGUAAAGUACUUUCAGCGGGGAGGAAGGCGACAGGGUUAAUAACCCUGUCGAUUGACGUUACCCGCAGAAGAAGCACCGGCUAACUCCGUGCCAGCAGCCGCGGUAAUACGGAGGGUGCAAGCGUUAAUCGGAAUUACUGGGCGUAAAGCGCACGCAGGCGGUCUGUCAAGUCGGAUGUGAAAUCCCCGGGCUCAACCUGGGAACUGCAUUCGAAACUGGCAGGCUAGAGUCUUGUAGAGGGGGGUAGAAUUCCAGGUGUAGCGGUGAAAUGCGUAGAGAUCUGGAGGAAUACCGGUGGCGAAGGCGGCCCCCUGGACAAAGACUGACGCUCAGGUGCGAAAGCGUGGGGAGCAAACAGGAUUAGAUACCCUGGUAGUCCACGCCGUAAACGAUGUCGACUUGGAGGUUGUGCCCUUGAGGCGUGGCUUCCGGAGCUAACGCGUUAAGUCGACCGCCUGGGGAGUACGGCCGCAAGGUUAAACUCAAUGAAUUGACGGGGGCCCGCACAAGCGGUGGAGCAUGUGUUUAAUUCGAUGCACGCGAGAGCUUUACCUACUCUGACAUCCAGAGACUUACCAGAGAUGCUUUGGUGCCUUCGGGAACUCUGAAACAGGUGCUGCAUGGCUGUCUCACCUCGUGUGUGAAAAUG
rnacentral:rRNA from 1 species